GAUGAACGCUGGCGGCGUGCUUAACACAUGCAAGUCGAACGGGAUCCAAGGAGCGUUUUUCGUUUUUUGGUGAGAGUGGCGAACGGGUGAGUAACACGUGAGUAACCUGUCCUUUUCUUUGGGAUAAGCUCCUGAAAGGGUGUUUAAUACCUUAUGUUCUGUCUGCCUCGCAUGGGGUGGGUGGGAAAGAUUUUUUCGGUGAAGGGUGGGCUCGCGGUCUAUCAGCUUGUUGGUGGGGUGAUGGCUUACCAAGGCUUUGACGGGUAGCCGGCCUGAGAGGGGGGUCGGUCGCAUUGGGACUGAGAUACGGCCCAGACACCUGCGGGAGGCAGCAGUGGGGGAUAUUGCACAAUGGGCGCAAGCCUGAUGCAGCGACGCCGCGUGGGGGAUGAAGGCCUUCGGGUUGUAAACUUCUUUUGCUCUGAACAAGGCGCAUCUUUGGGGUGUGUUGAGUGUAGGGGUUGAUUAGCGCCGGCUAACUACGUG
rnacentral:rRNA from 1 species